GACGAACGCUGGCGGCGUGCUUAACACAUGCAAGUCGAACGGAAAGGCCCUGCUUUUGUGGGGUGCUCGAGUGGCGAACGGGUGAGUAACACGUGAGUAACCUGCCCUUGACUUUGGGAUAACUUCAGGAAACUGGGGCUAAUACCGGAUAGGAGCUCCUGCUGCAUGGUGGGGGUUGGAAAGUUUCGGCGGUUGGGGAUGGACUCGCGGCUUAUCAGCUUGUUGGUGGGGUAGUGGCUUACCAAGGCUUUGACGGGUAGCCGGCCUGAGAGGGUGACCGGCCACAUUGGGACUGAGAUAAGGCCCAGACUCCUACGGGAGGCAGCAGUGGGGAAUAUUGCACAAUGGGCGGAAGCCUGAUGCAGCAACGCCGCGUGCGGGAUGACGGCCUUCGGGUUGAAAACCGAUUUCGCCUGUGACGAAGCGUGAGUGACGGUAAUGGGUAAAGAAGCACCGGCUAACUACGUG
rnacentral:rRNA from 1 species